AUGGCCGACGGCGUCCUUCCGGCAGCGCUGACAGUGGCGUUCCUGCUGCUCCUUGGAACAAUCAGCGCCGCGCACGGUCAGCUCCAGACGGGGUUCUACUCCGACUCCUGCCCCGGCGCCGAGGACAUCGUCACCGCCGCCGUCCAGGAAGCCGCCGCCUCGGACGCCACCAUCCUCCCCGCCCUCGUCCGCCUCCAGUUCCACGACUGCUUCGUCAGAGGAUGCGACGCGUCGGUGCUGAUCACGAGCGCGGGCAGCGCCGCGGAGGUGAACAACAACAAGCACCAGGGCCUCCGCGGCCUGGACGUGGUUGACCGCGCCAAGGCGGAGCUCGAGGAGCAGUGCCCCGGGGUCGUCUCCUGCGCCGACAUCAUCGCUCUCGCCGCACGCGACGCCAUAGCCAUGACGAACGGGCCGUCGUUCGAGGUGCCGACGGGGCGGCGCGACGGGCUGUCGUCGAACGUACGCGACGCCGACGUGCUGCCGGACGUGAGCGACUCCAUACAGGUGCUCCGCUCCAAGUUCGCCGCCAGCGGCCUCAACGACCGCGACCUCGUUCUGCUGACAGCGGCGCACACGAUCGGCACGACGGCGUGCUUCUUCGUCAAGGACCGGCUCUACAGCUACCCACUGCCGGGCGGCCGCACGGGGUCGGACCCGUCGAUCCCGGCGGCGUUCCUGUCGGAGCUCAAGGCCCGGUGCGCGCCCGGCGACUUCAACACGCGCGUGCCGCUGGACCGGGGCAGCCAGGGCACAUUCGACGACUCCAUCCUCCGCAACAUCCGCGCGGGCCUCGUCCCCAUCGCCUCCGACGCGGCGCUCGAGGCCAGCAAUGCCACCGGCGCGCUCGUCGGCGCCUACCUCGGCGCGGCGUCCUCCAGCUUCGCGCAGGAUUUUGUCGGCGCCAUGAUCAAGAUGGGCGCCAUCGGCGCCAUCACCGGCGACGCCGGGGAGAUCAGAGACGAGUGCUCGGCGUUCAACACGAACUGA
rnacentral:rRNA from 1 species